rnacentral:rRNA from 1 species
AUGGGAUCCGCCUCCCUCCUUCGCCGGAGACACGCCAAGCCAUCGCCGUCGUCCCGAUCCGCGCGGAGGAGCGCCGCCGAACACCUGCCUCUGCCUGCGUCCUCUGCUUCUUCCAGGAUGAGGCGCCCGCUCGCCCGCUCGUCCUCGAGCGUUGACCGUGCCCCCUUCUCCUCCUCGUUCGAUCGAGUCAAGACCCAAGCCCAGCCGCGCCAGGCUCCAGCUGGCCCGCGUCCGACCUCCCCAACCGGCCUCGCCUCGGCCUCCGUCCUCUUCAUUUUGGGCCGCGCCUCCAAGGCCCAGGGUGAGCCGCCCCCAACGCCCCCUCCUCUAUCUUUUUUCCUUCGCUGUUGGGCUUCCUCAGAUUCGGCCCGUGAAGUAUUUUUUUCAGCGCCUGCGAUUUUUCCUAUUAUUCCUGAGAUUGCCAGUUUUACAGAUUAG